rnacentral:rRNA from 1 species
GUUCGGAUCGCAGGCUGCAACCCGCCUGCGUGAAGCCGGAAUUGCUAGUAAUCGCGGAUCAGCAUGCCGCGGUGAAUACGUUCCCGGGCCUUGUACACACCGCCCGUCACACCAUGAGAGCCGGGGGGACCCGAAGUCGGUAGUUUAACCGCAAGGAGGACGCCGCCGAAGGUAAAACUGGUGAUUGGGGUGAAGUCGUAACAAGGUACC